rnacentral:tRNA from 1 species
GCCCAGGUGGUGGAAUUGGUAGACACGCUAGCUUGAGGGGCUAGUGCUCGUUUAGAGCGUGCAGGUUCAAAUCCUGUCCUGGGCACCA